rnacentral:rRNA from 1 species
GACGUAGGGGGCGAGCGUUGUCCGGAAUUACUGGGCGUAAAGAGCACGUAGGCGGGAACUUAAGUCAGGUGUGAAAGACCGAGGCUCAACCUCGGGUAUGCACUUGAAACUGGGUUUCUUGAGGGCAGGAGAGGAAAGCAGAAUUCCUGGUGUAGCGGUGAAAUGCGUAGAAAUCAGGAGGAAUACCAGUGGCGAAGGCGGCUUUCUGGACUGACCCUGACGCUGAGGUGCGAAAGCGUGGGUAGCAAACAGGAUUAGAUACCCUGGUAGUCCCU